rnacentral:rRNA from 1 species
AGUUUGAUCCUGGCUCAGAUUGAACGCUGGCGGCAUGCCUUACACAUGCAAGUCGAACGGCAGCACGGAGCUUGCUCUGGUGGCGAGUGGCGAACGGGUGAGUAAUAUAUCGGAACGUACCCUGGAGUGGGGGAUAACGUAGCGAAAGUUACGCUAAUACCGCAUACGAUCUAAGGAUGAAAGUGGGGGAUCGCAAGACCUCAUGCUCGUGGAGCGGCCGAUAUCUGAUUAGCUAGUUGGUAGGGUAAAAGCCUACCAAGGCAUCGAUCAGUAGCUGGUCUGAGAGGACGACCAGCCACACUGGAACUGAGACACGGUCCAGACUCCUACGGGAGGCAGCAGUGGGGAAUUUUGGACAAUGGGCGAAAGCCUGAUCCAGCAAUGCCGCGUGAGUGAAGAAGGCCUUCGGGUUGUAAAGCUCUUUUGUCAGGGAAGAAACGGUGAGAGCUAAUAUCUCUUGCUAAUGACGGUACCUGAAGAAUAAGCACCGGCUAACUACGUGCCAGCAGCCGCGGUAAUACGUAGGGUGCAAGCGUUAAUCGGAAUUACUGGGCGUAAAGCGUGCGCAGGCGGUUUUGUAAGUCUGAUGUGAAAUCCCCGGGCUCAACCUGGGAAUUGCAUUGGAGACUGCAAGGCUAGAAUCUGGCAG